rnacentral:rRNA from 1 species
GAUGAACGCUGGCGGCGUGCUUAACACAUGCAAGUCGAACGAAGCACCUGGAUUUGAUUCUUCGGAUGAAGAUCCUUGUGACUGAGUGGCGGACGGGUGAGUAACGCGUGGGUAACCUGCCUCAUACAGGGGGAUAACAGUUAGAAAUGACUGCUAAUACCGCAUAAGACCACAGGGUCGCAUGACCUGGUGGGAAAAACUCCGGUGGUAUGAGAUGGACCCGCGUCUGAUUAGGUAGUUGGUGGGGUAACGGCCUACCAAGCCGACGAUCAGUAGCCGACCUGAGAGGGUGACCGGCCACAUUGGGACUGAGACACGGCCCAAACUCCUACGGGAGGCAGCAGUGGGGAAUAUUGCACAAUGGGGGAAACCCUGAUGCAGCGACGCCGCGUGAGCGAAGAAGUAUUUCGGUAUGUAAAGCUCUAUCAGCAGGGAAGAAAAUGACGGU